rnacentral:rRNA from 1 species
AGCCAUGCCGCGUGCAGGAAGACGGCCUUCUGGGUUGUAAACUGCUUUUGGCCGGGAACAAAAAGCCCCUGCGGGGGAAAUUGAGUGUACCGGCAGAAUAAGCACCGGCUAACUCCGUGCCAGCAGCCGCGGUAAUACGGAGGGUGCAAGCGUUGUCCGGAUUUAUUGGGUUUAAAGGGUGCGUAGGCGGGCCAAUAAGUCAGUGGUGAAAGCCCACAGCUCAACUGUGGAACCGCCAUUGAUACUGUUGGCCUUGAGUACCGUUGGGGCAGGCGGAAUUUAUGGUGUAGCGGUGAAGUGCAUA